rnacentral:tRNA from 1 species
UCUUCGCUAGUAUAUCGGUUAGUAUAACCGCCUCUCAAUAGGGAGUCUUCCUAAUAGGAACAUCGCGGUAGAGCAGGGUUCAACUCCCUGGCGGAGAA